GUCAGGAUAGCUCAGUGUAGAGCAGAGUUCA
rnacentral:tRNA from 1 species